rnacentral:rRNA from 1 species
UACAGAGGUCUCAACCGUUGUUCGGAUUCAUUGGGCGUAAAGGGUGCGUAGGCGGUCGGGUAAGUCGGAUGUGAAAUCCCAGGGCUCAACCCCUGGAACUGCAUUCGAUACUGCCUGGCUAGGGUACUGGAGAGGAGACUGGAAUUUACGGUGUAGCAGUGAAAUGCGUAGAUAUCGUAAGGAAGACCAGUGGCGAAGGCGAGUCUCUGGACAGUUACCGACGCUGAGGCACGAAGGUCAGGGGAGCAAACGGG